GACGAACGCUGGCGGCGUGCUUAACACAUGCAAGUCGAACGGGUCUGCCCUGUUUUUUGCGGGGUGGGUCAGUGGCGAACGGGUGAGUAACACGUGAGUAACCUGCCCCUCACUUCUGGAUAACCGCUUGAAAGGGUGGCUAAUACGGGGUGUUCUGGCUGUGCCGCAUGGUGUGGCUGGGAAAGAUUCACUUUUGUGGUGUUUUGGUGGGGGAUGGGCUCGCGGCCUAUCAGCUUGUUGGUGGGGUGAUGGCCUGCCAAGGCUUUGACGGGUAGCCGGCCUGAGAGGGUGGGCGGUCACACUGGGACUGGGAGACGGCCCAGACUCCUGCGGGAGGCAGCAGUGGGGGGUAUUGCACAAUGGGCGGAAGCCUGAUGCAGCGACGUCGCGUGAGGGAUGGAGGCCUUCGGGUUGUGAACCUCUUUCGCCGGUGAAGAAGGUCCUGCUCUUUGUGGUGGGGUUGACGGUAGCCGGGUUAUGAAGCGCCGGCUAACUACGUG
rnacentral:rRNA from 1 species